GACGAACGCUGGCGGCGCGCUUAACACAUGCAAGUCGAACGGAAAGGCCUGCUUUCCCUUGUGGAUUGCGGGUACUCGAGUGGCGAACGGGUGAGUAACACGUGAGUGAUCUGCCCCCAACUUGGGUAUAAGCCUGGGAAACUGGGUCUAAUUCCCGAUAGGACUGCAGGGUGGUGCCUGUGGUGGAAAACGAUUUUCUAGUGGUUGGGGAUGAGCUCGCGGCCUAUCAGCUUGUUGGUGGGGUAAUGGCCUACCAAGGCGGCGACGGGUAGCCGGCCUGAGAGGGUGGACGGCCACAUUGGGACUGAGAUACGGCCCAGACUCCUACGGGAGGCAGCAGUGGGGAAUAUUGCACAAUGGGCGGAAGCCUGAUGCAGCGACGCCGCGUGGGGGAUGACGGCCUUCGGGUUGUAAACUCCUUUCGACUGCGAGGAAGCCACCUGGUUGGAAGGGUGGUGACGGUAGUGGUAGAAGAAGCACCGGCUAACUACGUG
rnacentral:rRNA from 1 species